GACUCGAUCCUCAGAAGUCUGAGCCACAAGAGUCUACUCCUACAACAUCUGAAGGUUCUCAAAAUGUAGGAAUGACAGAACCAACUGCAAAGAAUAAUGGAAAGACACAAAUUACAGGUGGAUUUAGUGUGAAAGCAUUGAACAAUUAUGAAGCAGAAGCAGACGACGAAAUAUCUAUUUAUUCGGACGACAUUAUAACUGAUGUGGAUCCAGUGGACGAUGCUUGGUGGAUAGGAACAGUAGCAAGUGGUUUACGCGGCAAAUUUCCAUCGAAUUUUGUGGAGAUAUUUGAAAACGCUUAUGCUGAAGUAACGAAGAAAUAAAGAAGUGGGGGAUACUUGUAGGCAAACGCCAAUGCUUGAGAAGUUGCACACAUGGACAUUUAAUGUCCAUUUGCUGUUCAUAGUAGAUUACUUUUAUGCAAUUUACUCACGAAUAUUUAUUAUUAUCUUAUUCGCAGUGACGUUAUGCACGUCGAUGUAUGUGCGUUAUUGCGUCCGUUUGGAUGUUUUGGUCCGAAAGAUAACUUUCACAUGCAUGGAGCAAUCUUGUUUAUAUUUUGCAUGACUGCUUAAGUCAAUGAGACAGAGUGUCAUGCGCAAACUCCAAGUUCCUAUAACAAAGGUCAAGGUAAAACUGGGAGGUAAAAGGUCAUGUCAGAUCUUGUCUGGGCCAACUUUUACAUGCAUGAAGGAAUCUUGUUUAUAUUUAGCAUGAAUGUUACCUUCCGAACGGAGUGUUGCACGCAAACCUCAUGUGUCUAUCUUAAUAGUCAAGUUCAAAAUUAGGGGUCAAAGAUCAUUUUAGAGAUUUCCGGGCCGCAUCUUUGAUAGGUAUAGAGCAAUCAUUUUUUAAUUUGCAUAAAUGUUCACAUUUAUAAGAUGGAGUGUCGCGCGCAAACCUAGGACACUAUCUCAAAGGUCAAAGAUCAUUUUAGAGCUUGUCCGGGCUGUUACUUUGCCAUACAUAAAAGGAAUCUUAAUUUUAUUCCGCAUAAACGUUUGUUUCAAUGAGAGGGAGUGUCGCGCGCAACUCUCAGAUCCAUACAUCAAAGGACAAGGUUAUUUUAGGGGUCGUAGGUCAUUUUAGUGUUUAUCCAUGCCAUAACUUUAGCAUGCGUUAAACAAUCUUUAUUUGCGUAAAUGUUUGCCUCAAACAGAGUGUCACGCGCAAAUCUAAGGUCCCUAUCUCAAAGGUCAAAGUAACACGUAAGUGUCUAAUUUCAUAUAAAAUCUUAGACCACAACUUUGACAUGCAUUGAUCAAUCUCUUUUAUUUGGCAGGAAACUUUUUGUGGACCUGCAUAUUUUUAUAGAAUUAAAUCCCUUUGUUGUUACACAUCUGCACCUGGUAUGGCUUAUUUUUGUGGACUAAGUAAUUUUUUUUUGUUGAUUUAUAUUUGUUAUAUUUACUUCCCAUUUCUGUUCUUAUAAAUUGCUUAUUUUGUAACUUUUCUAUUUUUUACCAUACGGAAAAACCAACACAUUUUUCGCUGUGUUUUUUUAUUUAUCUGUACCUUAAAGUUAUUUGUGGAUGAUAGUGUCUGUUAAAUAACUUUAGUUUGGUUCAAGAUAUUGAAAUGAAACUUGUCGUAAUUAGCUAGAGGGUUUUGAUAUUGUUUAAAUUAGCUGAAAUGUUUGAGUCAUUCAGGUGGUGCGUCAACACAUAAUGGGAUCGACAUAGCUGCCCUUUGUGCUUUAACAUUCUAGUUAAAAAUACUUUCAACUCAAAAUAAAUCUAAAGUUUGAAUGCAUUCUUUGUUGCUGCACCAUAACUGUUAGCCUCAUAUUUUAAGAAAUUUGUUCAUUGCGUGAAUGAAGAAAGACGUGGUGUCACAGAAAUCGGUGUUUGUAUGGAAUUCGAUUGAACAUUUAACCAAUAUUUGAUAAAAUCUUGAAGAAAGAUGUGUAGAUUGUUUCCUUCUAAUUUCCGAUAUAUCAUUCUUUCUAUCAUGAUUAUUUCAGUUUUGCCAUUGCUUAUAAACUUUGAUUUCAUUGUCAUUAUUCUUAAACGUAUAUUACCCAUGUUGUUAUGCAAUUUACUUGAACGAAACGAAAACUUACACUGAUUUUUUUGUUAUAUAUGCUUUAUGUUUGUGAUAUUUUUGAUGUACAUCAAAAUUGUUAUAUGAAAAUAAAGAUAUGUAUAAUUUUCA
rnacentral:lncRNA from 1 species